CCUGCUCGUUCCUGACUUAAGCCAUCGGGCGUCGAAGUGGGGGGUGAUGCUAGGGGAACACCGGGUAGGGGAACAGGAGCGUGAGCACAAUGAGCAUCCCGACGCCUGUAGCUCCCUGGACAGCGUCGAAUCUGAGCGUCUUCAGGCGAAACCAGACCUUUAUCUUAUCCCGUGAGAAAGAAGCAACACAACACCUCCAGCCAUGGACGCCAUCAAGAAGAAAAUGCAAGCUAUGAAGCUUGAAAAGGACAAUGCUUCAGAUAAGGCAGAUGCGAUGGAGGCGCAGGCCAAGGAUGCGAACCUCCGUGCUGAAAAGGUGAACGAGGAGGUCCGUGAGUUGCAAAAGAAGCUCACACAGGUCGAAACUGACUUUGAGACUACCAAGACCAACCUGGAACAGGCCAACAACCUUUUGGAAGAAAAGGAAAAGCAGUUGACUCAGGUUGAAGCUGAAAUGGCCUCUCUGAACCGUAAAGUCCAGACCAUUGAAGAAGACCUUGAACGAUCGGAAGAGCGUCUAGGAACUGCCACAACAAAAUUGGCCGAAGCCUCCCAAGCAGCCGAUGAAAGCAGCCGUAUGUGCAAAGUAUUGGAAAACAGGGCCCAACAAGACGAGGAACGUAUGGACCAACUUACCAACCAACUCAAAGAAGCUCGUAUGCUGGCUGAGGAUGCUGACAACAAAUCAGAUGAAGUAUCCCGCAAGCUGGCCUUCGUUGAAGACGAGCUCGAAGUAGCUGAAGACCGUGUUAAAGGAGGUGACGCCAAGAUCAUGGAACUGGAGGAGGAAUUGAAAGUUGUAGGUAACUCCCUGAAGUCUCUGGAGGUGUCAGAAGAGAAGGCCAACCAGAGAGUGGAAGAAUUCAAGAAACAGCUCAAAACCUUGACAGUCAAACUGAAGGAAGCUGAAGCUAGAGCCGAAUAUGCUGAAAAGACUGUGAAGAAACUGCAGAAGGAAGUCGACAGGCUAGAAGAUUUUGUUCUACGUGAAAAGGCCAAGUAUCAUGGCAUUGUUACAGAUAUAGACAAAACAUUCGUCGAAAUGUCAUCACAAGCAUCCAAAAAAUAAUCAUUCUUUUCAUUUUUUGCAACGAAUACUAGACAUUAAUAAAAAAUCCCAUUCAUUUUUCACUUCAUCGUUCAUUUCACAAUGCAUUCUAACGAAAACACUUCCAUCAAUCAUGAGAAAUUUCUUUUAAAAAAAAUAAUUCACAUUUUUUGGGGAAAUGAGGAUAUUCAUGAAAAUAUUGAAAGUGUUCAUUAAUUCGACGUUUUAAUGCUUAUUUCUCGAAAAUAAAUCGACCCUUCUAUCAUUAGCUUCGAUAUUACAUUCACUGAUUCACUACUAUAUGCGAAACUUUAAUUAUUUCACACAAUGGCUUGCUUGAAAGUUUCCAGUUAUUCGCUGGGGUUUUCAAAAGAUGAGCUUGGAAUCAACAAAGACAGAUACAAGUCUUUGGCCGACGAGAUGGACUCCACCUUCGCUGAAUUGGCAGGUUAUUAAUUUUUUUUACAUCUAAGAUCCAUCCAAAAUAUAUUUUUCAUCCUCUUAUCUACUGAUUGGCCCCAUCGAUAUUGUACAUCUGGUGUUCUGAGAUCUAACGCGGCCAUUAUGUAUUAUUUAUGUAUGUAUGUUCUGCUUUUUGAACUUGCAACUCCUUAUUGAUUCACUUGAAUGACAUGUAUAGACCUUUAUUUUAUCGAAUUGUUUGUUUUGUUUAUUUUAAUAAAGUUGUAAGGAAAA